UAAACUUAUGCCUACUACCUAUUGACUAUUGAGUAUUCUUAAAAAUAUUGUUUAUACACAUUCUUGCUGCAUAUUCAUGUAAGAUUCUUAUAGUUCUAGUUUUGCACAGGUUGAUUGGCUUAACAAAUUCAUUGAAACAAUGUGGCCCUAUUUGGACAAGGCAAUCUGCAAGACUGAAAAAUAUAGCAGGGCCCAUUAUUGCCGAGCAAAUUCCAAAAUACAAAAUUGAUUCAGUUGAAUUCGAAGCACUGAGCUUGGGCUCCAUAUCUCCUGCUUUUCAAGGUGAUUGAUUUGCAAGUAUUUGCCUGUCCACGUAUCACCUUGAAGCCAUUGGUCCCAACUUUUCCUUGUCUUGCCAAAAUCUUAGUAUCUCUCAUGGAGAAGCCUCAUGUUGACUUUGGUUUGAAACUUCUAGGAGCAGAUGCUAUGUCCAUUCCCGGCCUUUAUAGGUUUGUCCAGGUAUGUUAAUUUGGUUUCGUUUGUUGCUAUAACUCAUUUUCUUUAGAAUUCAUUUUAUUCGUCAUUCACGUGUUAGGCACGUCUUCGUUGUAUAAAUUUUAGAAGGCAAAUACUAAAGAGUCCCCCUGGGGCAUUGUUUAACAUUGGAACUAAGCUAAAAAGUUUAUUGAAAAUAAGUGAAAAGUGUAUUGUUUUUAAUAAAAAUUGCAUUAAAUUCAGUUAAAAGCACCUUGUGUUCUUCAAUUCUUCUGUCUUUUUCAUGUACCCUAGGGGCACUUGUUAACAAC